rnacentral:tRNA from 1 species
AAGUUUAGGUUACCCAAACCGAGAGCCUUCAAAGCCCUAGACAGAGCCCCCCCCCUCUAACUUCUG